GACUUCACUCAAGCCGCGAAGAUGAACGCGCGUGAUUGGUCUUUGUCAAAAUGUCAAACUGGAGAAGACCAAACUUCGUGAAGUGCUACUUUCAUGCUUAAGAAAGUUAUUUAUCGUGGUUUUGUUACGUAUGAAAGUGAAUUGAGAAUGUUUAAUCUGAAAUUCCACAGUGAAGUUGGAUAAAGAUGAAGGAAAAUAAGAGCAAGGAAUGGCUAGGAAAAUGUAGAAAUAUUUGCUUGGAUUUUGGUGUUUACAAGAUGCUUCAAGAAACAAAUGAUGUUAAAGUUCAGAACUCUCUUAAAAAUGCGUUUGGUCAUCCUCCCCCCCACACCCCCUUUUAAAUCUCAUUUAGUAUAAAGACCAAAAUCCUAUUCAAAUAUCACAUAGCGACUUACGAUGGUUUACCAAUAUCUACAAGACCAUAUCAAAAUUCGAAACUAACUUUCCAGCACCACCAUUAUAUUCUGGGCCUAUGUAAUGUGUGUACUGUGAAACUAGAAGGGGUGCUAGAACACUGUUACUAGCAUCUCAUUGUCUUGAAAUUUCACUUUAUUCUUUUUCUGAAUCUUAAAAGACUUUCCAGUCUUCAAGAGUCUGUUAGCAAAAUGCCAGUAACGAUGUAAUAAUGGCUCUUCAGAAUAGGCUAGAACCUAGUCCCCUGUAGGAAAGGUAAGCAAGAGAGAAAGGGAAGUAGCUGGAGAGGAGGUUCUGAAAGGGGUGGUAAAAAACCACACACAACAAAAUAUGCUGUCUUCACAUUUUCAUUCUGGGCCCUGACCGAUACCACCAUUUUCAUUUGGGGCUCUCAGCUUCAACUCCAUUAUCCCCACGUGCUGUUGCUGUCUCUCUGUCCUUGCAUCUCAGUUUAUUGCUGUUCUUUCUGUCCUGUACUUUCAUGAAUUUCAAGAUCCGAGUCAGAACUUUUCCUGAACACAUCUUUCCACCACUUCUGGUCACAUCUCUCCCACAAUCCCCUGAUACACAACUGAAUGCCUAGGUCACUUAUGUUGAGACUGAAUUAUGUAAUAAAUAAUAUGACUGGCCUUUGAGGGUGUAUGUUUGACUUCCCAGCCACACUGUAAACUGUGAGAGAUUAAAGAACAUUAUUCUGUAUUCUUCUUUUACCCUCUAUACUACUAGUACAGUGCUUAUCCCACAGGAACGAUGACUUCUGUUGAGGUACAUGUUCUGUUCUUUAUGUUCUUCCGAGUGGACAAAUGGAUAAAAUAUUUGCUUCAUGUUGUUUUCCUAAGGCCUGAUUUUUUUUUUUUCAAGGUCUUAGACUGAAAGAACGUGCACAUGCCAGAAUUAAGGUAGGGUCAGAUGGAGAGUGAGACUCUUAAGCAGGCUCUGCUACCAGCACAGAACUGGUUGGGGCUGCAUUUCACCACCCUGAGAUCAGGACCUGAACUGAAAUUAAGAGUCUGGCACUUCUAACUGAGCCGCCUAGGUACCCCUCUAAGGCCUAUUAUUUUUUUAUUUAGCUUUGUUGUUUAAAUACUUUUAGACAGCAAAGAAGUUUUGAGAAAGGCAACAGUGAACCAUAUUUUAAAUUUAAAAACCAACCACCAGAGUCAAGCAAUAAAGAAAGGGGUAGGGGGGAUGCCAGCAGGUAACAUUAGAAUAGAAUAUAGAAAUUGUUGAAUCUCCAAUAGCACAAUUGUAUGUUUUCUUCUACAUGGAAAUUUUUAAUGCAAAAUGUUGAAGGUACAGAAGUAGUUGGGAAGGAAAUCCUUGAAAUAGUAAGCUAUUUUGGAACGUAAAGGGUUUUAACUGCAUUCUCGACUUUGAAAUUUUAAAAAAUGCCCAAGGUGUUUCAUUUAUUUAGAAAUGAAUGCCAUAUCACACAUGAAAAGAGUCUUGUUAUUUGGUUAUUCAAGGAUUUCCCCCGCCAAAAGUACUGUAUUUAGACCUACUGCAAAUCCACACUACAGAAGCUCUGCAUAAAGAAUAAUGUCUGAUUCACUUAUGCUUACAAGGUAGAGGAAUAGACAAAUUUAUAUAAAAUGUGGAUAAUUCCAUUCAGCAAGUUGUAGUGGAAACAUUAGGUGUUUGGUGUCAAACUGAAGUUUGAAAUCUGUCUCUGUGUCUUUCUAGUUUUAUGGCCUAAGACAAGACAGCUAUUAUCUCUGGCCAUCACAUUCCUCAUCUGUGAAAUAGCAAUCAUGAUAACAACCUUCCUAAACUGAUGUGAGCAUCACAUGGAAUCACAUGGAAGUAGAUGCUCAGAAUAGCUGCUGGAAUUGUUAUAUUGCAGAAGGCAAACAUCAAUUCUAUUAUAAGGGGACUGUUGUUAGACUGUGGCUCAAUUCUUUGGUGUUUCUGAGCAACAGCUCCUUCAUGCCCAUCUCAGAACAAACACAAUCUGCAUUCAGAACAGAACCGUUUACAAGUUCAAUGGAGUUAUUUUGGGUGAGUCAUUGAAAACACAGUACAAAACCUUUCCUCACUCACCAGAAAUGCAUUUUUAAAAUAAAGCCAAAGUGAACAAGGCUUGGCAAGUUUGAGGGUGGACAAAAUGGGGAGAGAACAGGAUUUCUGCCAAACUCAGAGAGGAUUUUGCUAAACCAUUUUUGUCUAUUCCUUACAUUCAACUCUACCAAUUUUUCUUACCAUACUAACCAAAAAGUAUAAGAUUGAGCAGGUGGGACAUCAAAACACAAACAUUUCAGUUCAGCUACCACUGUGAUACUGAAUAGAACCAGCAGAUCCCUUAUAUCUUAGCAUCAGUUAAGUCCCCCUUUUUGUCAUUCUUUAAUUCAGAAGCUAUAAGAUGUAUCCACUAAAUAAUCUUCUUAUUCUAAUUAAAUCAAUUUGGACAAAUUAAUAAUAAUUA